AGCCCUGGAACCCACUUUGGAAUCUGCAGAGAACUGUUACCUGUACCACACCUUUUGUUCAUCUCAUCAACCCUGAAAAUUGAUCAGAUGCCCAGAACAUUUUGUGUCACAGAAGCCAUCUCAGAAAUGAGACCCAUGCCCAGGAGAGACAGAGGACUGCUGGCAGGAACCCCUGAGGACAUGGCCACUGGGAAGCUCAAUUUGCUCAUCUUCACGAAAAUCGCCACUUGAUAAUUUUGCUCCCCUACAUGAGUCACCAAUAGCAUACUUGGGAAAAACCACAUCAAAGAUCUCAGUAUAUUAUCUCUGUGAUUAUCUAAGGAGCUGACUACAGCUUCCACAGCAGCAGAGUGGAAAUUAGCUUAAAGUAAUGUUUCUUAAAGUGGAGCACUUAGACUAACUAUACUAGCGUCACCCAGAAACCUGAGAAAAUGCAGAUUCUUGGGCCUGAGUCCCUCCGCCCCAGACCUACAGAAUCAGAGACUAUGGGGGUGGGCCCAACAACCUGUGAUUCAACAAGUCUUCAAGGUAAUUCUGAUGGAUGCUGAAGUUUGAGAACCACUGGCCUGGGAGAGGCGGCCAGAGCUGUCCCUGACUCCAUCUUUGGCUCCCCUGCCUGCCCCUCUUACUGCUCAGGAUCAUCACAGACAGUUGAUAUCAGUCCUUUAUCUCCAAGCGCGUUCAUCUCUGGAGAUGCUGCAGAGCACCAGUGGGUAGGGAAGUCUGGAGUCCAGUGAUGUAAAACUGACUUCACCCAUCUGGAUAAAUUGUGAGGAAAAGGGCCCUAAGUGGUGUUGUGGUUAAGAAUACAAACUCAGGGGUCACCUGGGUAGCUCAGUUGGUUAAGCGUCUAACUCUUGGUUUCAGCUCAGGUCAUGAUCUUACGGUUCAUGAGUUCGAGCCCUGCAUGGGACUCUGCACUGGCAGCACAGAGCCUGCUUGGGAUCCUCUUGCUCCCUUCUCUCUGCCCCUCCCCUGCUCAUGCAUGCUCUCUCUCUCUCUCAAAAUCAAUAAACUUUUUUUUUUAAAAAAAUGUGAUAAAAUAAAAGAAGAAUACAA